rnacentral:miRNA from 1 species
GUGGUCCCCAACCCAGUCCUCAUGGGCCACCAACAGUCCAGGAUUUAUGUAUUUCCCUAUUUCCCUGUGUUAUUCCAAUGGAGAUACUGACAAAACCUGGACUGUUGGUGGUCCAUGAGGACUGGGUUGGAGAACA